rnacentral:rRNA from 1 species
AUUGAACGCUGGCGGCAUGCUUUACACAUGCAAGUCGAACGGUAACAGGCCGCAAGGUGCUGACGAGUGGCGAACGGGUGAGUAAUGCAUCGGAACGUGCCCAGUCGUGGGGGAUAACGCAGCGAAAGCUGUGCUAAUACCGCAUACGAUCUAUGGAUGAAAGCGGGGGACCGUAAGGCCUCGCGCGAUUGGAGCGGCCGAUGUCAGAUUAGGUAGUUGGUGGGGUAAAGGCCUACCAAGCCGACGAUCUGUAGCUGGUCUGAGAGGACGACCAGCCACACUGGGACUGAGACACGGCCCAGACUCCUACGGGAGGCAGCAGUGGGGAAUUUUGGACAAUGGGCGCAAGCCUGAUCCAGCAAUGCCGCGUGCAGGAAGAAGGCCUUCGGGUUGUAAACUGCUUUUGUACGGAACGAAACGGUCUGGGUUAAUACCCUGGGCUAAUGACGGUACCGUAAGAAUAAGCACCGGCUAACUACGUGCCAGCAGCCGCCGCCGUAA